CUUCAGCCUCCCGUAAUGCUGAGAUUACAAGUGUGAGCCACCACGCUUGGCCUCUUUCUCUAUUCUAAAACUUUUUGUGGCUCUUGACUGUAAAUGCAGAACCUAAGUUAUACUAUGCCUUUGCAAUGCUGGUUCCUUAGCCUAGAAUUACAACAAACUGUCCUUCAAGAAUUACUUGUCCUUCAAGCACAAUGUAAAACGCCAUCUUUCUUCUGCAUUCCCCUGUUGUCUGAGUAGCACCUACUGUUCAUACCCUCAAGUACUGCUUUUUAACUCAGUGUUUUGUAAUUGAUUACAUAUCUGUCUCAAUGAGUCUUAAGUUCUCUAGACCAACGGAGCCCUGUUUUAUCUAUGCAUCUCCUCCCUGGCAAAUAGAAGAUGUUAAUUAAAUUCAUUUUUGCCAAAUGAAUGAUGUUAACAGUUAAGUUGCAAACAUAGUUAACAUCAUUCAUUUGGCAAAAGUGAAUUUAAUUAACAUCUAUGAGGGGGGGAAAAGGAGACCUAAAUUAGGGGGUGGCUACACAUUCCUUUAAGAGAACUUCAGGACACGGAAGGAGUCAAGGAUAAAAGACAGGAGGUGAGACUUGUGUUUUAAAGUAAUUCAGGGGUGCUAAUUAGGUUAACAGGUUACCAAGGACCAAAUUCAAUUUUGGUGCCAGACAUGGACCACUGACAUCCUGGUAUGACAUAAAAAUGCAAUGACUUGGGCCGGGCACCGUGGCUCACGCCUGCAGUCCCAGCACUUUGGGAGGCCAAGGCGGGCG
rnacentral:lncRNA from 1 species